rnacentral:misc_RNA from 1 species
UUAAGUUCAGCGGGUAUCCCUACCUGAUCCGAGGUCAAUCUGGGGUGGUUUUGCUUACUGGUAAGCCCCUCCCCUCGCCACGCCACGCAAAUCUGCUGCGUUUAGAGCCGAGUGGGGAGCUGCCAACUGCUUUUGAGGCGAGUCCACGCACGAUGGCGGGACAGACACCCAUCACCAAGCCGAGCUUGAAUUUUGAAAUG